GGUAUGGGAUGAGCUUGCGUCCGAUUAGCUAGUUGGCGGGGCAACGGCCCACCAAGGCGACGAUCGGUAGCCGGCCUGAGAGGGUGAUCGGCCACAUUGGGACUGAGAUACGGUCCAGACUCCUACGGGAGGCAGCAGUAGGGAAUAUUGCACAAUGGGGGAAACCCUGAUGCAGCAACGCCACGUGUGGGAAGAAGCAUUUCGGUGUGUAAACCACUGUCAUGAGGGAAUAAGGCCCGCCUUCGGACGGGAUUGAAUGUACCUUGAGAGGAAGCACCGGCAAACUUCGUGCCAGCAGCCGCGGUAAUACGAGGGGUGCAAGCGUUGUUCGGAAUUACUGGGCGUAAAGGGAGCGUAGGCGGAGAUUCAAGCGGAUUGUACAAUCCCGGGGCCCAACCCCGGCUCUGCAGUCCGAACUGGAUCUCUUGGAUAGUUCAGGGGCAGGC
rnacentral:rRNA from 1 species